AGUCGAAUGGGAUACCUUAAAUUUCCCAUGGCCGAACUGCUCAGUAACACAUGAUCAACUUACCCUAUUGAGAAAGAUAACCUCGUGGAAACUGAGGAUAAUAUUUCAUAGUUGAAUUGGCUUGGAAAAGUUUUUCAACAAAAGGGAUAGGGAAAAUGGUCUCUAUCCGCUAUAGGAUAGGAUCGUGUUCGAUUAUGGUAGUUGGUGAGGUAACGGCUCACCAAGCCGAUAAUCGAUAGGGGCCGUGAGAGCGGGAGCCCCGAGAUGGGUACUGAGACAACGACCCAGGCCUUACGAGGCGCAGCAGGUACGAAACCUCCACAAUACACGAAAGUGUGAUGGGGUUACCCAAAGUGUUCAUUAUUGAACUGUGGUAGGAGAGUAAUGUCCCCUACUAGAAAGGAGAGGGCAAGGCUGGUGCCAGCCGCCGCGGUAAAACCAGCUCUUCAGUGGUCGGGAUAAUUAUUGGGCUUAAAGUGUCCGUACCGGUUUGGUCGUCCUGGUAAAAUCGGAUACUU
rnacentral:rRNA from 1 species